rnacentral:rRNA from 1 species
AGAACGAACGCUGGCGGUAUGCCUAACACAUGCAAGUGAACGAGAAAGUGAUCUUCGGAUCGCGAGUAGAGUGGCGCACGGGUGAGUAACACGUGGAUAACCUGCCCUAUGGUCAGGGAUAACACUUCGAAAGGGGUGCUAAUACCUGAUAAGCCUACGACCUCCUCGGAGGAUGUAGGAAAAGAUUUAUUGCCAUAGGAUGGGUCCGCGGUCCAUUAGCUAGUUGGUGGGGUAAUGGCCUACCAAGGCUACGAUGGAUAGCUGGUCUGAGAGGAUGAUCAGCCACACUGGAACUGAGACACGGUCCAGACUCCUACGGGAGGCAGCAGUGGGGAAUUUUGCGCAAUGGACGAAAGUCUGACGCAGCAAUACCGCGUGAAGGAUGAAGGCCCUUGGGUCGUAAACUUCUGUCAGUGGGGAAGAAAUACUCGUAAGAGUGCUGACGGUACCCACAAAGGAAGCACCGGCUAACUCCGUGCCAGCAGCCGCGGUAAUACGGAGGGUGCAAGCGUUGUUCGGAAUUAUUGGGCGUAAAGAGCAUGUAGGCGGACUAUUAAGUCUGGUGUGAAAGCCCUGGGCUCAACCCAGGAAGUGCAUUGGAUACUGAUAGUCUUGAGUAUGGGAGAGGAAAGUGGAAUUCCGAGUGUAGGAGUGAAAUCCGUAGAUAUUCGGAGGAACACCAGUGGCGAAGGCGGCUUUCUGGACCAAUACUGACGCUGAGAUGCGAAAGCGUGGGGAGCGAACAGGAUUAGAUACCCUGGUAGUCCACGCCGUAAACGAUGGGUACUAGGUGUUGCGGGUAACCACUCCUGCAGUGCCGUAGCUAACGCUUUAAGUACCCCGCCUGGGGAGUACGGCCGCAAGGCUA